GAUGAACGCUGGCGGCGUGCCUAAUACAUGCAAGUCGAGCGAACAGAUAAGGAGCUUGCUCCUUUGACGUUAGCGGCGGACGGGUGAGUAACACGUGGGUAACCUACCUAUAAGACUGGGAUAACUUCGGGAAACCGGAUCUAAUACCGGAUAAUCUUUCGAACCGCAUGGUUCGAUAGUGAAAGAUGGUUUUGCUAUCACUUAUAGAUGGACCCGGGCCGUAUUAGCUAGUUGGUAAGGUCACGGCCUAUCAAGGCUACGAUACGUAGCCGAAGUGAGAGAGUGAUCGCCCACACGGGAACGGAGACACGGUCCAUACUCCUGAGGGAGGCAGCAGUAGGGAAUGGUCGGCAGUGGUGGAAAGCCUUACGGAGCAACGCCGCGUGAGUGAUGAAGGUCUUCGGUGCGUAAAACUCUGUUAUUGGGGAAGAACAGAUGUGUAGGUAACUGUGCACGGCUUGACGGUACCUAAUCAGAAAGCCACGGCUAACUACGUG
rnacentral:rRNA from 1 species